UACCUGGCGGCGUGCUUACCAUGCAAGUCGAACGAUGACUUUUGUGCUUGCACAAAAUGAUUAGUGGCGAACGGGUGAGUAACACGUGAGUAACCUGCCCUUAACUUCGGGAUAAGCCUGGGAAACCGGGUCUAAUACCGGAUACGACGGACCACCGCAUGGUGGUCCGUGGAAAGCUUAAUGCGGUUUUGGAUGGACUCGCGGCCUAUCAGCUUGUUGGUUGGAGUAACGGCCCACCAAGGCGACGACGGGUAGCCGGCCUGAGAGGGUGACCGGCCGCACUGGGACUGAGACACGGCCCAGACUCCUACGGGAGGCAGCAGUGGGGAAUAUUGCACAAUGGGCGAAAGCCUGAUGCAGCGACGCCGCGUGAGGGACGAAGGCCUUCGGGUUGUAAACCUCUUUCAGCAGGGAAGAAGCGAAAGUGACGGUACCUGCAGAAGAAGCGCCGGCUAACUACGUGCCAGCAGCCGCGGUAAU
rnacentral:rRNA from 1 species